GACGAACGCUGGCGGCGUGCUUAACACAUGCAAGUCGAACGGAAAGGCCCUGCUUGCAGGGUGCUCGAGUGGCGAACGGGUGAGUAACACGUGGGUGAUCUGCCCCUUACUUUGGGAUAAGCCUGGGAAACUGGGUCUAAUACUGGAUAGGACCAUGCUGUAGGUGGUGUGGUGGAAAGAUUAGUUUCGGUAAGGGAUGAGCUCGCGGCCUAUCAGCUUGUUGGUGGGGUAAUGGCCUACCAAGGCGUCGACGGGUAGCCGGCCUGAGAGGGUGGACGGCCACAUUGGGACUGAGAUGCGGCCCAGACUCCUACGGGAGGCAGCAGUGGGGAAUAUUGUACAAUGGGCGCAAGCCUGAUGCAGCGACGCCGCGUGGGGGAUGACGGCCUUCGGGUUGUAAACUCCUUUCAGCCAUGACGAAGCCCUUGUGGUGACGGUAGUGGUAGAAGAAGCACCGGCUAACUACGUG
rnacentral:rRNA from 1 species